rnacentral:rRNA from 1 species
UACGUAGGGGGCUAGCGUUGUCCGGAAUCAUUGGGCGUAAAGCGCGUGUAGGCGGUUCGGUAAGGCCGCUGUGAAAGGCGGGGGCUCAACCCUCGGAUGCCGGUGGAUACUGUCGGGCUUGAGUACGGAAGAGGCGAGUGGAAUUCCUGGUGUAGCGGUGAAAUGCGCAGAUAUCAGGAGGAACACCAAUUGCGAAGGCAGCUCGCUGGGACGUUACUGACGCUGAGGUGCGAAAGCGUGGGGAGCAAACAGG